rnacentral:rRNA from 1 species
UACGAGGGGUGCAAGCGUUAUUCGGAAUGACUGGGCGUAAAGGGUGCGUAGACGGUAUAUUAAGUCUGUCGUUAAAUUCUUCGGCCUAACCGAAGAUCAGCGAUGGAAACUGAUAUUCUGGAGGAUGAAAGAGAGAAGUGGAAUUCUCGGAGUAGCGGUAAAAUGCGUAGAUCUCGAGAGGAACACCAAUGGCGAAAGCAGCUUCUUGGUUCAUUCCUGACGUUGAGGCACGAAAGCGUGGGGAGCAAACAGG